GUGAGGAAUAUUGGACAAUGGGCGCAAGCCUGAUCCAGCCAUGCCGCGUGCAGGAAGACGCAUCUAUGGUGUGUAAACUGCUUUUGUACGGGAAGAAACACUCCCUCGUGAGGGAGCUUGACGGUACCGUAAGAAUAAGGAUCGGCUAACUCCGUGCCAGCAGCCGCGGUAAUACGGAGGAUCCAAGCGUUAUCCGGAAUCAUUGGGUUUAAAGGGUCCGUAGGCGGUUUAAUAAGUCAGUGGUGAAAGCCCAUCGCUCAACGAUGGAACGGCCAUUGAUACUGUUAGACUUGAAUUACAAGGAAGUAACUAGAAUAUGUAGUGUAGCGGUGAAAUGCUUAGAUAUUACAUGGAAUACCAAUUGCGAAGGCAGGUUACUACUUGUGGAUUGACGCUGAUGGACGAAAGCGUGGGGAGCGAACAGGAUUAGAAACCCCGGUAGUCC
rnacentral:rRNA from 1 species